UGGAUCGGUGAUGAGGGCUGGUGGAGUACGAGUCAGGAACCAUGGCUACUUCAUGUCUGGAGUCUGAGGCCCAA
rnacentral:snoRNA from 1 species